GGGGCCGUAGUGUAGCCUGGUUUAACACAUCUGCCUGUCACGCAGAAGAUCGAGGGUUCAAAUCCCUUCGGCCCCG
rnacentral:tRNA from 3 species